AAAAUAGCAGGCAAACAGAACGCACCCGGGGUGGGGAGGGUGUCGUGGCAGGCAGGGAGCCGCCGGGACCGCCGCGGAAGGGAUGCCACGCUGCUGGUUUUUCCUUUUGGGAACCACACUAAGGUGUCUCCCAGCAUCCUGCCCCGAGCAGGGGGUCCUCCUCGCCCUGCCAGCUCUCCGCAGGAACCAGGUUUAGAGCAGACUCAUCGCAGCUCUCGCUCCUGCCCAGCCGACCAUGGCCGUUUUACCGGUUGCCAUUGCAUUCUUUGUGGGACUCGCCAUAGGAGCUGCAAUUGUAGCACUGGUUGAUGAUAACACCGUGGACUUCUCCAUAGGUCCUGAGGGUGUACAUAUCCGUGUUGGCUGAGGAGACCCUUGCUGGAGAGACAUUGCUGGCUGUCCCUGCCUUGAGCUUGUCCUUCAAGAGGCAGCCUUGAUACUUCUGUGAUGUCACACUCCUGUCUUUCUUUACAGGGAAAAAACAAAAGGCCUGACUCUGCCCUGCAAGCAGCAGCAGCAGCCACUGUGCUGUCUGUUGAAAGAACUCCUGGUGACCAUGGCAGUGAACAGAAGCAGAUUUCUUUCCUUCCAAGUAGCCUGAUUCAAUGUCUUCCCACUGCUGGAACUGGAAAGCCCCCCCAGCUUCCCCUUUAACAGUAUUUUGAUUACUUUGAGCAAUAAAUGCUUUGAAAGCUUUAACAGAA